CUGCAGCUGGUCUAGUGGCUGAGGCUCCUGGUUUUCAACCAGGCUGUCCAGGUUCAAUUCCUGAGCAGCGAA
rnacentral:tRNA from 1 species